rnacentral:lncRNA from 1 species
CAGCUGCGGGGAGAUGCGUGCAAAAGAGCAUCAGUGAGAGCUGGCCGGUGUUCUUGAUCUGAUAAGGAUAUGCAGCCCAUCACCCCCGAAGUAUUUCACUCCUUGGUAACCUGCCUAUUGGAUUGCAACUUCUUCAUCUGGUUUUUGUCAGCAGGCAUAUUAGUGUGAAGAUACGUCCAGAGAAACUCUAUAGUCAUUGAUAUAGGAGGGAAAACCACAGCUAAUUAAAAAUUUUAAGUGGUUCUAUUUUAGGACCAACAGGUAUAUAUGCCUGCUUUUCAUUAACAGACUAAUACACUGAGACAGCAGGGUUUGUAUUAGAAAAAGUUUAAUGAUCACAGGGUGUGGAGCAAGGAGAUGAAAGAAAAGCCUCAAAUCCAUGUCCCAAAGGAGUCCUGGGCUUGGAUUUUUAAGAAUGUCAUAGAGUACAAGGGCCUGGAAAAUUGGGGUAAUUGAUUGGUCAGGGAAAAGGGGAUAAAAUUAUCAGAAUGUGGAAACUGCAUUCUUUGGUGAGUCAGUUUCUUCUGGGAUCCUUCAGACUAGCUGGUGUCAAUGGGGUCUUUCAGAGCUGUUGGCAUCAGUAGUUUCAUCGGUGUGCAGGAUCUGCUUUAAAGAAUAUCUCAGAGGGAAAACUUAAUGUUUCAUAAUAUUCAAAUCGUUGUCUAUAGAGCAGUUAAGGGGUAUGAUAAUCUUGUAACAGGGACUAUGUGAUUCUGAGGCAAUAGACAAACAACUAUGAGGAAGAGGUCACAGGGUUACAUAAUGAUUAACUGAGAGUGCUACCAGCUUGGUUUAUUUUUGUUUCUCUCCCUGCCUCCUCUCUGAUUAAUUGUAUAAAGUUUAUAGGGAUACUAUCAGUUCCACUCAAUUCCAGCCUUUUUUUUGACUUUAACCUAAGGAUUCUGAGAAUGGGAAUAAUAAAACCAUUUAUAUCUCACUGCCUGUACACAUACAAUUCAUCCCACAGAAAACCAUGUGCUUGCAGUGUGUCCUUCCAAUGCUUGAGCUGUAGCCUAUACUUCACAUAUUGCACCAUUUAUUAGCCCACUUGUUUGAACUGUCACAACCACUUGGAUCACUACACUAAUGAAUUAGUUUGAUUAAAAGAAUAUUACCAGAAUCCCAAAAGUAGUUUUUUACCCACACCCAACACUAAUCUAAAUAUUUUAAAUAAAUGUCAUUAUUUCAGUGUGUUUUUCAACUCCCUUUCUGUAUACUUACUCAAUGUCUUUCUAUCAUUUUGAAGCAAAGACCCGCAUGCCUCUGCAAUAAUACUUAAUUCCUUCUCUGGCUUUACUUUGAACUAGAUAUAUUUUAUAAAAUUUCCUGCUUUUGGAAUCCUUAUGAUUAGUUUGAUAAUGUUCCUUUGUUAUUGACAUUUUUUAACUGAACAAAACCUACAGAAGGAAGAAAAUAAAUAGGAAUGCUCAAAUGCAUAUUUGUUCAUAAAUGGCACCAGUUUUUAAAUGUUUAACAUUUAUUUCUUUGUUUUUGUUUGUGCAAAUGUAUGGGAUCAAGAGAAAUUUUGUUACAUGUAUCCAAUUUGUAGUGACCAAGCCAGGAUAUUCAGUGUCCAUCACCUGGGUACAAUACAAUUUCGUGAAGUGUAGUUAUCCUACUCUACUAUCAAACAUUGAAUUUAUUCCUUCUAUCUUAUUUAUGUAUAUUCCAUUUAAAAUGUAUUUUGCUUUUCUCUUUUAAGUUGUGUUAAAGUAGUGCAUUUUUCUUUUUAUUUUUCACUUUCUAUUUGUUCAUAUUCGCAUUUUUGUUCGUAUAUUUUUUCUCUUAUUCAGUCUGAUAUGAAAAACUGACAAAUGAGUAUAGUAAAUUAUUUUUUGUUCCGUUAUUAGAGUGGUAUAAUACUGCUGGUUUUGUAAUCCAAACAAGAGCACACUCAAGGGUUUCUUAUUCUAAAUAUUUACAUUAAAUGGUUUCUAGAUUGCUCAUAUAUUACAUAUGGUUGGUACUGACGAUAUAUAGCAAUGAAUAUCUUGAAGAAAUAUAAAAUAUAUUUGUUAUUAUUUAAAUGUUUCAAGAUAUUAUGAAAUAAAGUGAUUUUGUAUUAAUA